rnacentral:lncRNA from 10 species
CCUAAUUAGGAGUCACUGAAAACAGCUGUGCUUUUGUAAAGCCCUGCAAACUGAAGCUAGACAACUUAAACUUCAGAAGAAAAUAACAGCAACCUAUUUACACGCAUAAGCCACUUUCAUACCUGCCUACUGAUGUAUGGACUUCAGAAUAACGUGGCCUAUGUAUAUUUUCCAGGAUUGUUCUUUUGUUUGUUGUUUUUCACCCUUCCUCCCCCUAUUUUCUCUUCACAAGACAUGGGAGUUCACAGCCUUCUAAAAAUUAGCUUUCCUAAUAACUUGGGACUUACCUGUCUAGGAAUAAACCAUCCUAGCAUGAGCGAUCAGAUGAAAUCUGGGACCAAAGACUCAUUUUUCUUCUAAAAUGCUUUCUCCAAAAAAAAAUUUUUUUUAAAAAAAAGAAAAGGAAAAUUCAAGCUAGGAACUACUUAAGACAAACUUGCCUCCCAUUCUAUUCAAAGUCAUCCCUCUGCUCAUUGAGAUAAAUGUGUAUCUGACUGCCUCCUUAGGAAAGGUAAAUCAGAAACUCAAAAGAAUGCAACCAUUUGUCUCCCACCUACCCGUGACCUGGAAGCCCCCUUCCCGCUUCAAGUUGUCCCGCCUUUCCGAACCCAACCAGUGUUCAUUUUACAUAUAUUGAUUGAUGUCUUAUAUGUCCCUAAAACGCAUAAAACCAAGCUGUGCUCUGACCACCUUGGGCACAUGUUGUCAGGACCUCCUGAGGCUGUGUCACUGCGUGCGCAUCCUCAACCUUGGCAAAAUAAACUUUCUAAAUUAACUGAUACCUGUCUCAAAUUUUUGGGGUUCACAAGGUUUAGUUAUAAAUGCUUCUUAUGGAGCAUGAUUUUCUUACAAGCGAGGCAGGAGAAUCGGAUCUGGAGGCAGGGAACCUAGGGCUGUUUCACGCUGACUUCCUAGAACUAAAUUGAAAGUAAAACCCUAACUUCCCACACCAAGUAACAAAAGAACCAGAGGCUUCUCCCUUUCCAAACCCCCACCUUUUCUGUGUGGCAGAUGGGAAAUUGAAAGUACCUCUGAUUGGUUGCAAAAAGCAAAAUUACGCUAAGAAGUAAGUUAUCCCUUAAAAAAAAUUAUUCUUUCUGCAACCAAUCAGAUCUUCCCAUAGGAGUGUAACUAUGUAACUUCACCAUCUGAUUGCACGCCACGUCUUCGUUUGCAUAUAAGGGCAACUUUGUAACUUCACUUUAGCCUUUCAUUGGUUGCUUUUCACAGCCAAUUGUGGGUCACCACUUCAUUUACAUGAGAUGAGUACCAAGUGGCCAAUAGGAGACUUCAAUGGGGUAUUAGGGCCCCUGAGCUGCUGCUCCACACCCCAAACACAGGAGUGUCCUUUCAUUUUCAGUAAAUCCCUGCUUUUGGCGGGGCAUGGUGGCUCAUGCCUGUAAUCCCAGCACUUCGGGAGGCCAAGGCAGGUGGAUCACCUGAGGUCAGCAGUUUGAGACCAGCCUGACCAACAUGAUGAAACCCUGUCUCUAAUAAAAAUAAAGAAUUAGCCAGGCUUGGUGGCGCAUGCCUGUAAUCAUCCCAGCUACUUGGAAGGCUGAGGCAUGAGAAUCACUUGAACCCAGGAGGCGGAGGUUGCAGUGAGCCGAGAUCGUGUCACUGCACUCCCGCAUGGGCAACAGAGCAAGACUCCAUCUCAAAACAACAACAACAACAAACACCUUCAAGGUCUGGCGUGGCGGCUCACACCAGUAAUCCCAGCACUUUGGGAGGCGGAGGCAGGCGUUUCACCUGAGGUCGGGAGUUCGAGAGCAGCCUGACCAACAUGGAGAAACCCUGUCUCUACUAAAAGUACAAUAUUAGCUGGGCAUGGUGGCGCAUGCCUGUAAUCCCAGCCACUCGGGAGGCUGAGUGAGGCAGGAGAAUUGUUUGAACCAGGGAGGUGGAGGUUGCAGUGAGCCGAGAUCGCGCCAUUGCACUCCAGCCUAGGCAACAAGGGCGAAACCUCAUCCUAAAAAAACAAAAACAAACAAACACCUUCGGGCUUUGUGAGUGCUGGUCUCAGAAAAGCACUCAGUCUUCCUCCAAGGGCUAACUUACUUCUUCAGGAGUUGGGUGCCUUUGAGAAAUUUCCCAAACCACUACAGAGGAACAACUUCUCCCUUCGUUCACCACUCUACCAAGCACUUGGCUUUUGUACCUUAUUGCAAUUAUUUAUCUUCUAAUCUUCUAGAGCCUAGAGAAUUAGACUGUAAUGUGCCUUAAAUGCAGAGGUUUCUCUUACUCUUCUCUGGAGCAAUGCAGACGUUUGUUGGUUGAAGGAUCAAACUCCAAAGUCCCUCCCAGCCUUGGAACU